CUGGACUCCUCGGCCUCGGCCUCGGUUUCCUCUGUCCCCUCCGAAGGAGCGCGGAAGGGUCUUUGCUCCGUUGUGCUCCAUGGGAGGUUUUUUUUUCUGGGUUUUGCACACGAUGGAGCAGAGCUGAAGUGGAGCACGCACACACCCUGCCCCCACAAUUUUCUGGUGUGACCUUUUUGGAUAAACAAAGACCCCGGCAUAAGCUAGUGCAGAUGGAACGGCUCCAGCGGCUUGCAUGGAAACUCCUGACUGCGAUGUAGGGGAAGAGGACCAGCGGAGGGGGAGUCGCUCACGCUCGACUGGCUGUCUGACAUGCUGUCAGCUCCAUUAUUCUCCUUCCGACUUAACUUGUCUACCUUUUUAAACUUCCGUAUGGAAGCAUAUUCAGCUGCAGCUGGAUCUUGAUUGACCAGGGAAUUCACAGAGGACAGAGGAGAUCUGCUAACACCGCUCGCUCCGUUUCCUCUCCCUGCCAUGGUUCCAUUAGUGACGCCGUUUCCUCUGCCGUUCCCUCUACCAGCCUGAAAACAAAAACACACAGGUUUUCGACAGAAUGAGGAUCUGGGUGUCAACAUGGCCAUGGAAGAAGGUUUAUUUUGUUUCUGAUAAACCUGUUUGUCUUGGUUCGGUCAUGUUUUCGGUCAAUAUGAAAGUAAAUAACCCGAUGGCCAACCAUUUUAAAUGUGUUCUCAUAUGGUCCACAAGACUUCUAUUUAAAAUAUCAAGUUAUUUUAAAACAUUUAUCAGGAAAUGCACUCCUGUGGGGAUACUCAAACUCACAUCUACACAAAACCUCCAUCAUACUUAAUAGUGGGGGGGAGUUGCUUUUCCACAUUGUCAUUCUAUGUUUAAUGACAAAACUGCCAGAUCCAUUUGUUACUAAAAGAGUUUGGUCUUUGAUUAAUUUUAACAUAAGUUGGCCCCAGUUGAUACCCCAGUGAAUCAAACUCUACAUAUUUAUGUUUGCAAUGGCAGCAAAAGGCUUUGCUCUGGCAUGACUUCCAAAAUACCAGUUUGCACAUAGACAGUGUCUAAUCGUUACUAUGGAGACCUGGUUUCCCUCGAGAUGGCACUUUUUGCAGCAGUACUCCAAAAGGGAGAUUUGGAGAAGUUUUUCUUAAGCUCCCUCAUCUUCAUUUUUAUUUUGUGUGGUGGUGAUAUUAAUAUGGCUCCUUGUCUAACUGAAACGGCAGUGGAAAAGAGAAAUGUUGUUUUCAUAGACCAGGGAACAACAAAGUCAUAGGUUAAUAAUUAAAAGUAAAAAGAAACUUGGAACUUUUAAUAAGAAUAAAUAAAUUAUAAAUGCGUUUUAACAAAAACUUCCGCUACAUUUAUUUUGUAGACAUUGUUAGUGUGCCAGGAGUUGUGCCAGUGACUGAAAAAAAAUCAACUUGAAUUUAAGGUUGAAUUUUUAUGAUUUGUUUUUCAGUUUUGUAUAUUUUGUAACUGCAAUAAAACGUUGAUUCAAUUCAAUU